AACAACAAGUUUCCUUUGCAACAGGGCCAUAACAUCAACACUCUUGGUAACUGCAUUGGUACCAAAACUUAUCUGUGACAAUAUCUUGAACAUUAAUGCCUUUAAGAGAAAUGCCCUUAAAAAUACCUUUAGCAAGCAUUUCCUUAGCAAACACGCUCCUAGCAACAGAGAGUAAGUUUUGUAAGGGCAUGUGAAUACGAAGGCAGAGACUGGAGUGAUGCCAAGAAAUGUGAAAGAUUUCCAGGAGCCAUCAGAAGCAAGGAAAAACGCAUGGAAAAGAUUCCGAGUGCUCAGAAGGAAGCAACCCUACCACCACCUGAUUUGGACUUCUAAGCUCCAGAACUAGCCCUGGCUGUGUUCACUGAAUGGAUCUAGUCUCUGAAAAUUCACCGACAUUUUUGGCUUGGCGCUGUGGCUCAUGCCUGUAAUCCCAGCACUUUGGGAGGUUGAGACGGGAAGAUUACGAGG
ensembl:lncRNA novel transcript